CCCUUAGAUGUUCUGGGCAGCACGCGCGCUACAAUGGUCUUGGCAAACGGAUGCAUUCUCGAAGGAGAAUGCCAAUCUUGGAAUCUAUGCCUUGGUCGGGACAGUUGCUUGCAAUUUUUCGACUCGAACCAGGAAUUCCUUGUAAUCGUGAUUCAUCACAUCACGAUGAAUACGUCCCUGCCCUUUGUACACACCGCCCGUCGCUCCUACCGAUCGAAGAGUUAGGUGAAUUGUUUUGAUCGAUAAGAUUUGACUAUGGUCAACUCUCGUUGUGAAAUUCUGUGAAUCUGACUGUUUAGAGGAAGGAAAAGUCGUAACA
rnacentral:rRNA from 1 species